rnacentral:rRNA from 1 species
AACGAACGCUGGCGGCAUGCCUAACACAUGCAAGUCGAACGAGACCUUCGGGUCUAGUGGCGCACGGGUGCGUAACGCGUGGGAACCUGCACUUAGGUUCGGAAUAACUACCAGAAAGGGGUGCUAAUACCGGAUAAUGUCUUCGGACCAAAGAUUUAUCGCCUUUGGAUGGGCACGAGUUGGAUUAGCUAGUUGGUAGGGUAAUAGCUUACCAAGGCGACGAUCCAUAGCUGGUCUGAGAGGAUGAUCAGCCACACUGGGACUGAGACACGGCCCAGACUCCUACGGGAAGCAGCAGUGGGGAAUAGUGGACAGUGGGCGAAAGCCUGAUCCAGCAAUGCCGCGUGAGUGAUGAAGGCCUUAGGGUUGUAAAGCUCUUUUACCCGGGAUGAUAAUGACAGUACCGGGAGAAUAAGCCCCGGCUAACUCCGUG